AUGUAUAUUGGUUUUGUGACUGAAGACGGUGUGCCAGUGGGCAGUUCUGGAGGAGCCCAAGGCUUCCUGCUUCUGAGGCAGAUGAGGAUGCAGUACUACUCCCUUGGGAAGCUGGUUGAGAAGAGAUGCUCAGCUCUGCUUGUGCCAAAUUUACUUUACACGGGUUCUUCCAGCCUCUCCUUCGCCAAGGAACCGGCCUGUGCUUGUGCCUGCUCUAUGUCCUUCGUCCGGCUGAAUCCUGCAGUGCUGUGUUUGCUGUGUGGUCUGGAGACCGUAUUCCCAUGCAUUUGUGUGUUGUUACAGAUAUGUGUUCAUCAAGUUUUCUAGUAAGUAUAAAGAUUAAAGAUAAUAUUUGGGGCUAAGACACAAAAUUUUGCAAAAUGAAUGCUUUUCAGCCCAGAAAUUUUGUAACAACUAGACUUCGGGGACCCUUGAUUUUAUACCCUACUUUAUAAGCACAAG
rnacentral:lncRNA from 1 species